rnacentral:rRNA from 1 species
GCGCACGGGUGAGUAACACGUAUCCAACCUGCCGUCUACUCUUGGACAGCCUUCUGAAAGGAAGAUUAAUACAAGAUGGCAUCAUGAGUCCGCAUGUUCACAUGAUUAAAGGUAUUCCGGUAGACGAUGGGGAUGCGUUCCAUUAGAUAGUAGGCGGGGUAACGGCCCACCUAGUCUUCGAUGGAUAGGGGUUCUGAGAGGAAGGUCCCCCACAUUGGAACUGAGACACGGUCCAAACUCCUACGGGAGGCAGCAGUGAGGAAUAUUGGUCAAUGGGCGCAGGCCUGAACCAGCCAAGUAGCGUGAAGGAUGACUGCCCUAUGGGUUGUAAACUUCUUUUAUAAAGGAAUAAAGUCGGGUAUGUAUACCCGUUUGCAUGUACUUUAUGAAUAAGGAUCGGCUAACUCCGUGCCAGCAGCCGCGGUAAUACGGAGGAUCCGAGCGUUAUCCGGAUUUAUUGGGUUUAAAGGGAGCGUAGAUGGAUGUUUAAGUCAGUUGUGAAAGUUUGCGGCUCAACCGUAAAAUUGCAGUUGAUACUGGAUAUCUUGAGUGCAGUUGAGGCAGGCGGAAUUCGUGGUGUAGCGGUGAAAUGCUUAGAUAUCACGAAGAACUCCGAUUGCGAAGGCAGCCUG